UAUAUCAUCAACUAUGAUGUUUUAUAAUGUUAAGGUAUAUCCUGUGAUGGUUGAAGUAUGUCAUGUACUACUUGCCUUUGAUUUUAUAGGGGAUUAUACUCAAGAUAUUCCAUGAUUCUCAGAAGAGACUUGGGACUUUCAAACAUUGUUGUGGUGUGUUAGACUAUCGGGACUUUUGGAGUUGGAGUUAAUAUAUUUUGUAUAGUGUAAUGCUAGAGCUUGUCAUAAUCCCAUUGCCUCAUGUGUUUAAACAAGACUAUGAAUGCCAUAGACUGGAAUGUGAUUGGUGAGAUAUGUUUAGCCUAUGAGAAGUAGUUUGCAAUAAUCAGGCAUGUGGCCUUGUUGGGGAAGGUAUAGCUUUCCUACAGGAAGUGUGUCAGAUUGUGUCACAAUGGAGGCAGUGCUUUGAAAUGUCAGGAAAUUGUCAAUUCUGGGCAGAGUGAUCCAGACCAUACUCCCGGCUGGCUGUAAAAGAGAGUCUCCUAACUGGAUAAAGCUGUAGAACCCUUGGCUCCUCCAGCACCAUGGCUUCCUAUAUGCUGUCAGGCUUCCUGACAUGAUCGUAAUAUUAGGAAUUUACUAGCAGGGCUGAUGGUAUUGCUAUGGUAGGUCUGACCAUAGUUUUGUUUGAAGGAAUAAUUAUUUUAGGAUUUUGUAAUGGAGGGGAGGCUUUAAAUGGGGCUUAUCGGUCCAUAGGAUUAGAAGCAUGGAAGACAGUGUUGCUGAGAGUGAUUUCAACUGUGGGGGCCUGUCUCUAAGAAACUUCAAAGGAGAAGACUCAUAAACCUGAAUCUCCAAAGUGUCCCCAGAUAAUAUUAUGAUGACAAUCAUCCAUGAGCCAUCAAUGUCCAUAUUGAAACCUACAAUCAUUGUUGCUUCUGAAGAGAUUUCUAACGUCAAGGAUCCCUGAAGCCAGCAGAAUGUACGCUGAAGUUCACAGUCAAUACUGCAACCUCAGGUCAUGUUGAGAGUUCCACAUAUAGUGAGUUGAGGUCACAUAUAUACUGGCAACAGACAACAGUGCAUGUAUGUGAUACUUCAGGCCUCAGCAGCCAUGAUAUCAUUGAUCUCCACUGCCUCACGAGAGCACAUUAAUAUGAGUGUCUCCAACUGCCAGUAAAAUCAUUACAGAUAUCAGUUAUCCAUGAUCCUGUCCAACUUGUGAGAAGGGUUCUGCCAGCUGUAACCAUUUUUAUGUCAUGUUGUAUCCUGUCACUAAACAAGAGGUUUCUGUUCAUGGCCAUACCUGCUAUCUGAAACUAUCUUAAUGUCCCUGAUAUUCAUGGCAACUGACACCAUGGUGUAUCUCUGAUCCUUCCUGCAACUUUGGAUCAGUUGAUAACAUGAGAAAUACCGGCAUCCAAAGAAAAUACAUUGAUAUUACUCAUAUACAAUGCCACUGGUAACAAUACUGAGAUCCAUAGUCAGUGUUGUGCUGGAAAAGAUCCCUGAUGUCUUAGAUCCCAAUGCCAGAAGAGUCUAUUAUAAAGAUCAUUGUCAGUAGUGCUGCCUACUGUCAUAAUGAGGUAAGUACUGUGUUUUGUUAAUGAAGACACCAUUGAUGCCAGUGAUCCUACCUGCAACCUGAAGUUAUGUUAAGGUCACUGCUGUUUGAAGUGAUCAGCAAUCAAGAUGGAGUCCAUUGUUAAUAUCACUGAAGGUGAUCUUGGCGAUGGCUAUGAUCUACAUUGUUUCUGGAGAACCUGAUGAAUGCCAAGGUCCAUACUGAUGCAGAACGUCAUUUUGAGGUAAUUGUUUUGAGCUGGCACUGGAGAUCUGAUUGAUAGCUGAGAUUCGACCCAUCACAGUAAAUUCAGUUGAAGUUUCUGAUGCAUGCAUGUAUCCUCCGAUGUUGAUCAUGCAAAGUAUUUUGAUGCCAGCAAUCCUACCUGUAUCAUGAAGCUCUGUUGAUGUCAGUGAUGUAUUCUGUGUCCAGAAAUAAUGAAGGAGUACAUUUUUCAUAUUGGUGAUGGAGUCUCUGAUGAUGGCUAAGAUAUGUGUUGCUGUUCGAGCACCUGAUAAAUUCCAAGGUCCUUAUUGAUUCCUGAAUUCAUAUUGAGGAAAUUCUGUUGAUGUUCCUGAUGCAUGCAUAUAGGUCCAGAUGCUAUAUGUGCAAUAUAUGAUGAUGCCUAUGAUAAUAUCUGAAACAUAAACCUAUGUAGAUGUAAAUGCUGCAUGAUAUGAGCUGCAAUCAUGAUGGAGUCCCUUAUUCCUAUCGUUGAUGGCAUAUCAUAGUUAAGGCUAUGAUCUGUGUUGCUGUUUGAGAAUCUGGUGAAUUUGACAGUCAAUACUGAAGCCCAAGGUCAUAUUGAGGAGAAAUGUUUUACCAGUCUAACCGUUUUGAUGUCAUGAUGCAGCCUACCACUACAGAAGAGGUUUCUGUACAAGGUCCUACUGAUCAUCUGAAUAUGCAGAGUACUGGAUAUGCAUAAUACUUCCUGGCAAAAGUCAAGAUGGCAUAUUCCAGAUCAAUGCUGCCAUAAGCAGCAAGGUUAUGACUAAUACUUGCUGUCACUUUGGACCUGAUCGAUGACAUCAAUGAUCCCAACUGUCAAAGGAAGUAUAUUGAUGUCACUCAUCCAUGAUGCUACUGGUGAUCAUGUUGAAAUCCAAAGUCAGUGUUUUCAUGGAAGUAUUCCCCGAUGUGUGAGAUCUCUGAGACAGCAGAGUCUUUCGUGAAGUUCAUGAUCAGUAGUGAUGCCCAAGGUCAUAAUGAGGUAAGUGUUGUGUGCUGCUACAGGAGAUGCAUUGGAUGCCUGUGACUACCUGAAACAUGAAGUUAUUCUGAUGCCAGUGCUCCAGCUGUGACCAGCAAUCAUUAUGGAGUCCAUUAUUCCUAUUACUGAUUGAGACCCUGGUGAUUGCUAUGAUCUCAUUUGCUUCUGGAAAACUACCUGAAUGCCAAUGUCCAUACAGACAACUGAUGUCAUAUUGAGUGUUCUGAGAUGACACUGGAGAACAGAUUGAUGGCUGAGAUCCUAAGUGUCACAGGGAAUUCUGUUGAUGUUCCUGACAAAAACAUGUAGUCUGUGAUGUCUAUCAUGGAAUGUAUCUUGAUGCCUGUGAUCCUACCUUUAACAAGAAGCUAUGUUGAUAUCAGUGAUACAUUCUGUGACCAGCAAUCAUGAAGGAGUCCAUUAUUCCUAUUGGUGAUGGAGAUCCUGGAAUGGCUAUGAUCUACAUUUCUGCUUGAGAACCUGAUAAAUUCCAAGGUUCUUAUUGAUGCCUUCUAGCAUACUGAGGUAAGUGUUCUUAGUUGGCCCUGGAUAUCAUAUUGAUGUCUGAGAUCCUACCUCCCACAGGAAAUUCAGAAGAUGUCAUGGGUGCAUGCAUGUAGCUCCUGCUGUUAAUCAUCAUUACCACCCCAAGAAGUGGAAGUGAUGCCUAAUAUCUAUCCUGCCACUGGAGAAGAGGUUUAUAAUCAUAAUUUCAUCUGCUGUUCGAAUUGUUGCUGAUGUCACUGAAAUAUACCUGGCAAGAGACACCACAGUAUUGCCCAUCAUCCAUACUGCUUUUGACAAAGUUGUCAGUGAUCUCUGAUUCCACUGGGAACCAUGCUAAUAUCACUAAUCCAAAGUGCCUACAGCAACUUGGAUGGUGUGAAUCAUCCAUCCUGUACCAGGAGCUAUGUUGAAACCCAUAGAAUAUAUUGCUUCUGAAGACAUGAUUAUUGUUAAUGGUACCUGAAUCCAUCAAAGUAAGGUGAAGUUCAAGUUCAAUAGUGCUGCCAAUGGUAAUGUUUAGUUAUAUUUUCUGACAUAUGUUAUGUUGAGAGCAUAUAAAUUGUGGUGAUGUACACUGGUGUAUGUCCAUAAUACCUCAGGCCUCCAACAGCCAUGCAAGUAAUACCUGCUGCCAUUAGGGAUAGGAGUUUAUCCAACUGCCAAUGGAAUUAUUACUGAUAUCUGUUUUCCAUUCUUCUGCUCAAUUUAUGAGAAUAUUCUUGCCCUCUAUAACAAUUUUGAUGUCAUGAUGCAUCCUGCCACUAGAGAAGAGGUUUAUGUUCAUGACCAUACUUCUCCUCUGAAACUAUUUUGAUGCUCCCUAAUACUUUGUGGCAACUGACUCUACUUUAUAUCCCACAACCCUGAUGCCAUAGGCAACCAGGUCAGGGGUGAAGCUUACUCCCACUUUGGACCAUUCAAUGAAACCAGAGACCACAACUGCCAAGGGAAGUAUAUUGAUAUCACUCAUCCAUGAUACCACUGGUAACCAUGUUGAGAUCCAUAGUCAAUGUUUGUAGGUGGAAUGGCUUAGCAACAAAUGUUGCCUUUGACGAGCUCCUUGGCUGCUGAGAUCCCUUGGCCACUAGAGUCUAUUGUAAAGAUCAUUGUCAUUAUGGCUGCCUAAGUUUAUAAACAGGAAAGAGCCGUAUACUAUUACUGUCAUCACCUUUGAUGUCAGUGAUCAUAUCUUCAUUUUGAAGUUCUGCUGAUAUCAUUGUAUGCUCUAAUCAGCCAGCGUGAUAGAGGCCAUUGUUCCUAUUACAUAUGGAAAACCUAAUGAUGACUAGAAUCUGUGUUGCUUCUGGAGAAACUUCUGAAUUCCAAGGACCUUGGGACCAAUAUCAUCCAAGGUCAUAUUGAGGGUAAGUGUUGUUAGCUGACAAAACUAAUCUCUGAGAUCCUACCCACCACAGGGAAUUCUACUGAUGUUCCUGAUGCAUGCAUGUAGCUCCUGAUGUGAAAAAACAUUGUAUUUUGAUGCUUAUGAUCCUACCUGUAACAAGAAGUUGUGCUGAUACCAGUGCUGCAUGUGGUGACUAGAAAUCAUGAUGGUGUCCAUUAUUCCUAAUGCUGAUGGUGAUGGCUCUUAUUUGUGUUGCUGCUUGAGAAUCCAAUGAAUCCCAAGGUCCAUACUGAUGCCCAUGAUCAUUUUGAUGUAAAUAUUUUUAGCUGGUACUGGAGAUCCGAUUGUUAUCUAGAAGCCUACCCGAAACAGGAAAAUUGGUUGAUGUUCCUUAUACAUGUGUGUAGCCCCCCAUUUUAAACAUGUAAUAAAUAUUGAUGCCUGUGAUCCUGCCUGAAACAUGAAGCUGUUUUGAUGUCAGCACUGUUUGAUGACCAGCAAUCAUGAUGGAAUCUAUUAUUUCCAUUGCUAAUGGACACACUGGUGAUGGCUAUGAUCUAUGCUUUUGCUUGAGAACCCGAUGAAUCCAAAGGUCUGUAAUGAUGUGGUAGGUGAUAUUGAGGUAAGUGUUCUGAGCUAGCAAUGGAGAUCAUAUUGAUAUAUGAGAUCCUAUCUGCCACAGGAAAUUCUGUUGAGAUCACUGAUACAUGAAUGCAGCCCCUGAUUUUUGACCUUGUUACGUGCAAGAUCCUUACUGCUACCUGAAGUGAUAGUGAUAACAGUGAUCUAUCCUGCCACUAGGGAAGAGAUGUAUGAUUUGCCCUAUGAAUUGAUGAUGAUGUCACUGAUAUAUACCUGGCAACAUACACCAUGGUAUUGUCCAAGGUCCAUGCUGCCAUUGACAACCUGGUUGUCAGUAAUCCCUGCUGCACCUGCUUACCAUGUUAAUAUCACCAUUACCAAAUGCUUGUAGAAACUAUGAUGGUUUCAGUAGCCAUGUUUAAAAUCAUAGUCCAUGAUGCCUCUUAGGAUAUUUUUAAUGCAAAUGAUCCCUGGGGCUAGCAGAAUCUAAGGUAAUGUUUUAGGUCAAUACUGAUGUCUGAGAUCAUGUUGAGUCAUAUGUUCUGAGAUAUAUUAUGGUGAAGUCACAUAUAGUGUGGCAACAGACACGGUUGUCUGUUAUAUAUAUUUCAGUCUUCCAGCAGUCAUGUCCGUGAUCCCUGCUGCCUCUUGGGAACACAUUAAUAUCACUGUUUCUAACUGGCAAUGGCAUCGUCACUGAUGCCAAUUUUCUAAGAUUCUGCCCAAUUCAUGAGAAGGGUUCUUCUAGCUGUAACCAUUUUUAUGUCAUGUUGCAUUCUGUCACUAGACAAGAGGUUUCUGUACAUGGUCAUACCUGCCCUAUGAAACUGUCUUGAUAUCCCUGGCAACAGAUAUACCAUAGUAUAUUUCAGAUUCCUAUGCCCACAGUCAACCAGGCAGUGAAUAAUUGCUACUACCACUUUGGAACAAAUUGAUGACAUUCGUGAUCCCAACUGCCAAGGGAAAAAUAUUGAUGUCGUUCAUCUAUGCUGUCAUUUGUAUCCACAUUGUGAACCAUAAGUAGCAUGUUUGAAGAGGCCUUGAUGUCUGUGAUAACUCAACCAGAAUAAUCUGUUGUGAAUUUCAGUGUUAGUUCUGGUGCUAAAGGUCAUAAUGAGGCAAGUCCUGUGUGUUCCUACUGGAGACAUGUGAUGCUAGUGAUGCUAGUGAUGUUGAUGCUAGUGAUCAUGUGUGAAACCUGAAGCUGUGUUGAUGUCAGUGCUGCAUGCUAUAACCAGAAAUCAUGAUGGAGUCUAUUAUUGUGAUGGCUAUGAUCUGUGCUGCUUCUGGAGAACAUGCUAAAUUCUGAGGUCCAUACUGACACAUGAGGUCAUAGUGAGGUAAGUGUUCUUAUCUGGCACGUGAGAUCAGAUUGAUUUAUGAGAUCCAACUUGCCAUAGGAAAUUCUGUUCGUGUCCCUGAUGCAUACAUGUAGAACCUACUAUCAACCAUGAAACACACAAUAUCCUUACUACCACCAUAAGUGCUAGUUUUGUCAAUAAUAUAUCCUGUCACUGGAGAAGGGUUUGUGACCAUAAUUUCUUCUCUCCUGUGAAUCAGUGCUGAUGGCACUGAUAUAUACCUGGCAGCAGACACCAUGGUAUUGUCCAAGAUAAUUGAUGCCAAUGGCAAACUUAUUGUCAGUGAUCCUAGCUUCAUGGGGUACCAUGUUUAUGUCACUAAUGCAAAGAGGCUGCAGAGACUUUGAUUAUGUGAGUCAUACAUGCUGCCUCUAGUAGCCAUGUUGAAAUCCAUAGUCAGUGUUGGUGCUGAAGACAUUGUGGAUGUUAAGAAUCCCUGAGAUCAUCAGAAUCUACAAUGAAAUUCAGUCAAUAAUGCUGUCUUGGAUCAUGUUGAGUUACAUGUUCUGAGACAAGAUAUAUGUUGAGUAUGUAUUUAUAAAAGUCAGACACCACUGUGUGUCUAUAAUUCUUCUGGUCUCUAGUAGCCAAUAUGUCAUUGAGCCCUUAUGACAUUUGUGACCACAUUAAUAUGACUUUAUUAAUUGCCAACGGAAUCACUACUGAUGCUUAUUAUCUAUGCUUCUGCAGAAAAUCUAAGAAGUAUCUUGCAUUCAUAAGUAAUUUGAUGCAAUGAUUCACUCUACAACUAGAAAUAAGGUUUCUCUAUAUGGUCAUACCUGCACUUUGAAAGUAUUUUCAUGUCCUUUGUACUUCCUGGCAAUGGACACCAUGUUAUCUCACAGAUCCCUGCUGCCAUAGACAACCAGAUCAUGAGUGAUCCCUAUUCCCACUUUGGACCAAAUUGAUAACAUCUGUGAUCCCAACUACCAAGGGAAAUACUGACAUUACUGAUAAUAAUCCAUGUUGUCACUGAUAAUCAUGUUGACAUCCAUAAUCUGUGUGGUCAUUGCAAAUAGCAAUGUUAAGAAUCCCUGAGACCAUCAGAAUCUAUAAUGAAGUUCAGUCAAUAGUGCUGCCUUUGAUAAUGUUGAGUUACAUGUUCUGAGAUAUGUUAUGUUGAGGUCAUACAUAUAGUCACACCAGACACCACUGUAUGUCCAUGAUAUUUCAGGCCUCUAGUUAAAUCAACCAGAAGGAUCUAUUGUGAAUUCCACGGUAAUUCAAUCCCUGUCUAAAGUCAAAGUGAGGUAAGUGUUGUGUGCUGCUACUGGAGACAUGUUUGAUGUCUGUGAUCCUAACGGCAACCUGAAGCUAUGUUGAUGGCAAUGCUGAAUCAUGAUGGACUCCAGGAUUCCUAUUGCUGAUAGAGACCAUGGUUAUGGCUAGGAUCUCUGCUGCUAUUUAAGGACAUGUUAAUUCUAAGGUCUAUACUGACAGUUGAGGUGAUAUUGAGGUAUGUGUUCUGAGUUGGCACUAGAGAUCACAUUAAUAUCUGAGAUCCUGCCUGCUACAGGAAAUUCUGUUGAUGUCCCUGAUGCAUGCAUGAAUCCCCUGAUGUAAACCAUGAGUUCACUGAUAUAUACAUCAUUGGAAGAGACAGCACUGUAUGUCUAUAUUCUUUAAUGCCACAAGCAGCCAUAUUGUCAGUGAUUCUUUCCCCACUUGGGACCACAUUAAUAUGAAUGAUUCCAAUUGUCAUUGGAAUCUAUACUGAUGUGAGUGAUGCAUGCUUCUGUCACCUGUGAGAAUGUUCUUUAUGAGAAGUAUACUCGUAGCUAUAAUAAUUUUGAAGUCAAUGAUUCAUUCUGACACUAUAGAUAUUAUUACUUCUCAUGGUCCUCCCUGCCCUAUGAAACUACCAUGAUGUUCCUGAUACUUCCUGGCAAUUGACAUCAUAGUAUAUCCAAGAUUCCCUAAUGCUACAGGCAACCAGGAUUUUAAUGAUCCCUAUUGAUACUUUGGACUAAAUGUGAUAUCAAUUGUCCUAUUUGCUAAGAGAAAUAUAUUGAUUUUACUCACCUGUUUUACUGUUUAUAACCACAUUGAGAUCCAUAGUCAGUGCUGUUUCUAAAGACCUUCUUGAUGUCUAUGAUCAAUGUGGCCAGCGUGUCAAUUGUGAAGUUCAUGGUCACAACUGCUUCCAAAGAUCAUAAUGAGGAAGACCUUAUUGAUGACAAGGAUCUGUGCUGCUGCAUGAGAACAGGCUGAAUUCCAAGUUCUAUACUGAUGUGCAGGGUCAUAUUGAGACCUCAUUAUGAGUAAUAUCCUUUCUGCCACAAGAAGAAAUUUGAUAUAAUUGAUUCAUCCUGCUACUGGAGAAGAGACUUAUGUUCAUAAUUUCUUCUACCCUCUGAAUCAACACUGAUGUCAGUGAUACAAUUGUCAACAGAUAUCAUACUAUAUCUAUAGUCCCUGCUGCAAUAGCAAGCAUCAUAUUAAAUAUUUGUGCUGCCAUUUUGGACCAGGAUGAUAUCAGUUACCACAACUGCCAACAGAAAUAUAGUGAUGUCACUCAUCCAUGCUUCUACCUGUAAAUAUAUUACUAUCCAUAGAUGUUGCUGCCUCUGAAGAGCUUUGUGAUGUCUGUUAUCCAUGGUGCUAGAAGAGUCUGUCUUGAAGUUCAUGGUCGAUAAUACUGCCUAAGUCAUGUUGAUGUAUGUGUACUAUGCUGCCACCAGAGACGUGUUUUAUGACUGUGACCUGACUUGCCUCCUGAAGCAGUGUUGAUGUCAUGGCUGCAUACUGACAUCACUAAUUGUGAUGGUGUUUAUUGUUCCAGUGGCAGGUAGGACCUGCCCUAUGAAACUAACAUGUACCAAGGGAUAAAUGCAUGCAUUAAGGACAUGUACCAGUACAACAAAACACAGGAGUGUAUGAAAUGCCUUUUAUGCAUGCAUGAAGCCCCUGCUGACUAAUCAUAACUCUUUUGACUAUAUUAUGCAUAAGAUCCUCACUGAAAUCAGAAGAAUUGUUCAAGAUGUCAUUGAUCCAUCCUGACAAUGGAGAAGAUGUUUAUGUUAAUAUUCUCUCUUGCCCUCUGAAUCUAUACCAAUGUCCAUGAUAUGCUCAGAAACAGAUACAAUGGUAUUGCCCAAGAUAAAUGCUGCCACAGGUAACCUUGAUUUUAGUGAUCCCUGUUGCAAAUGAGUACAAUGUUAAUAUCACUAAUUCAAAGUGCCACCAGAAACUAUGCUGAUGUCCAUCAUCAAUGAUAACACCGGCAUCAAGGUUGAAUGCCAUAGUCCAUGUUGGUUCUGAAGAGACUGAUAAUGUAAAGGAAACCUGUUGCUACCAAAGUCUAUGGUGAAGUUCAUAGUCAAUAUUGCUAACUAAGGUUUUGUUGAGUUAACCUUUCUGUGAUAUGUUGAGGUCAGUGAUACAUUAAGGCAACAAACACCAUUGUAUGCCCAUGAAUUUUGAUGCAAUGAGCAGCUAUAAUGUCAGUGAUCACUGGUGACACAUGUGACCACAUUAAUCUGAGUGAUUCCAGCUGCCACCAGAACCUAUACUGAUGUCUGUGAUCCAUUUUUCUGCCAUCUGAGACUAUGUUAUAUAAUAAAUAUAUGCUGCCAGCUGUACCACAUUUUAUGUCAAGGAUCCAUCCUGCCAAUAGAAAUGAAGUUUCUGUUCAUAGUCUGAUCUGUCCUCUGAAACUGCAUCAAUGUUACUGAUACCUUCUAGAAGCAAACACUAUGGUGUAUCCUAGAUCACUGAGGCCUCUGGCCCACCAGCAACCAUGAUGAUGUCCAUUAUUCCUAUUGAGGUCCUACCUGCCACAGGAAACUAUGGUGAUGUCCCUGACGUAUGAUUGUAGUUGCUUUGUAGAGCAUGCCAUGUAUAAGAUCCUAACUGUCACCAGAAUAGUUAUUGAUAUAAAUUCUGCAACCUUAUAGAUACUUUCCAGCUGUAACUAUUUUGAUGUUGAGGAUCUAUGCUGGAACUAGAGAAGAGGUUUCAGUAUAUGAUCUGAACUUCCAGUGAAACUAUGAUGUCAAUGACAACUCCACAGUAACAAAAAUUACAGUAUAUCCCGGAUCCAUUCUGUCACAAGUUACAAGAUGUUAGUGAUCCCAGGUCCCGCUAUGGAUUGGGAUGAUUAUAUUAGCGAUCCCACUUUUCCAGUGGAAGCAAUGUUCAUGUCAGUGCUACCUGUUGUCAUCAGCAAACAAUAUGAUGUCCUUCAUUGCUAUUGAGAUUCUACCUGCUACAAGAAACUAUGGUGAGGUCCCUGAUGCGUGCAUUUAUCCCUUGCUACAGACUAUCAUGUAUACUACCACCAGAAGUGAUGUUUGUGUUAGUGAUCCAUCCUGUGACAUUAGAAGAGAUUUAUGCCAAUAGACUCUUUCCCUCUGAGUAUAUACUGACGUCACUGACAUACCUAGCAACAUAUAUGGUAGGAUAGCACAAGAUCCAUGCUGCUACAGGCAACCUCAUCAAUGUUCCCUGUUGCCACUGGAAAUUAUACAAUCAUCACCAAUCUAACCUGCCCUCAGAAAUUAUGUUGAUGUCCAUCAUCCAUGAUGCCAACAGUACCCAUGUUACACAUAGUCCAUGUUGCUUCUGAAGAGAAUGUUAAUAUUAAGGAGUUCUCCAGCCACCAGUGUCUAUUCUGAAGUUUAUAGUCAAUAUUGUUGCCUGAGGUCAUGUUGUGAAGUGUUCUGA
rnacentral:sRNA from 1 species